rnacentral:rRNA from 1 species
UACGAAGGGGGCUAGCGUUGCUCGGAAUCACUGGGCGUAAAGCGCACGUAGGCGGUUUGCUAAGUCAGGGGUGAAAUCCCAGGGCUCAACCCUGGAACUGCCUUUGAUACUGUCGAUCUGGAGUAUGGAAGAGGUGAGUGGAAUUCCGAGUGUAGAGGUGAAAUUCGUAGAUAUUCGGAGGAACACCAGUGGCGAAGGCGGCUCACUGGUCCAUUACUGACGCUGAGGUGCGAAAGCGUGGGGAGCAAACAGG